GGCUGACCAUUUUCUUGAGUGUUUGAGAAAGUUCCCUGUGCAUCUGUACCAUGUGCAUGGAGCUUUUCCCAGCACCGGAGAACUGGAAAGCUCCUAUUUGUUUGACAUUCUGGGUUUACAGUGCUCCUGUUUUUUUAUUUUAUUUUAAGAAUUCUUCAUAAGGCUUUUAAAAUAUUUAUAUUUUAUUAAGGUGAUUUUGGUGUAAAGAAAUAAAGUGAUACAGAAAAAAGAAGAAGGAAAAGUGAGAGGAAGAAAAACAACAACAUAUAUGUGUGUGUGUGUGUGUGUGUGUGUGUGUGUGAAAAUAUAUAAAAAAGAAAAAGAAGCAAUAUAUGAUAUUCCUAUACAUUCCUAUAUAAAUUGGUAUACUGUUAUUGUCCUAUGUAAAUGUUAAUAGCCUACUACAUUUUGUAUAAACUCAUUCCAAAUGUUAUCAUAUUUAUCCAUACAGAGUCUGCGCCUGUAAGCAGUCCGUUCAUAAAUUGCCAGUGAGGACAUAUCAUCAGUCCAUUGAUGGAAGCGUAUCAUAUCUUUAUUUUCCCAAUUCCUAUUAUGUACACUAGUACUGCUGUACUGGAGCUAUUGUAAUGAUAUAGAACGUGAUAUAGAACGAUGAUAUAGAAUGAUAUCACAACGUGAAGAAAAAUCCCUGCAACACAAAACUUUAUUUUGGCCAGUGCUUCCAAGAAUACACAGCCAGAUAUAGGUUUCUGGUCCUCAUGGAUGUGAAGACAUGGAGGCAUGCAGUAACUGACAAAAGAUGAGUCGUCACGCUAGAGGCUAAGCAAGAUUUUCAGUUAGCAGGAAGUGGGAUUACAGAGCACUUUUUGAUUUAGCCUCAAUCAAGGGAAGCUCUUCAGCUAUAAGUGAGAGUUCUGCUAAGUGCAGGAAAUAUACAUCUUUAUUUCAAUGUGUGAGACAAGAGACUGCAAAGUAGCAAAUAGGACUGUGGCAUUUAAUAACAAUCUUGUUCAAUUAAUGUGUUUAGCCUUACUCUGAUUAAAAUGCAGGAGCUCCGUUAUGAUCAAAUCAUUGGCAGUAAUAGCUGGGUUGAACUCCUCGUUAUUUUUAACCACCAGUUUAGGAUAUUUGAUUUGUUCUUUACUUAUGCUGCAAGUUUUAAAGUGUGUGUUUUUGGACAAUACCGAAAUUAUUUAAAUGCGUUUUCUUUUUUAAGGGCCUCUGGUGCCAUCUUGUGUUCAACCACAUUGUUGUGUCUUAACCGACAAUACGAUGGACACUGUCAUGCUUUAAUACUUGGGUCUACUGUUGUGUGCUUACCAUGUCCUGCUUACUUAGGUCUGAUAUGUGGAACAGCUCAGAAUGAGCAGAGUUGACUUUGUUCCUUGCAAAGAAGCAGCUGGCCGAGAAGUUCAAUGUGUGGCACAUACGUGACAUAAAGUACUUGAGUUCUGCAUGGCUUGUUUCUUCUCAUCCUGCAAGACAUGAGUCUGGAACCUUUUCAAGGGCAAUCCUCUGGCAAGAUCCAUGCAGAUGAGCAUUUUAGGAUGCAGCACAUCUCUGGCUCAGCUGGCUGAUUCCCAGCUUAGCUGGCAUUAAAUCCCCCAUCCUAGUUCAGCCAAAGAUACACGACUGUGACUUGCUCAUCCUGGCUCAGCCAGUGCUCAGGUGGCUGAGCCAAGGCAGUUGUAAGUCCCCAGGAAGUGGGGGAGGAACAGGGGGGGGGACUUAGGCUUGAUACUAAGCCUGUCCAACGCGUGGCCUGGCAACACUGCACCAAACUCUAUUUCAAAGCCCUGCUGCAGAACAGGAUUUGGAUCUGGUGCAACUGCCCCGCGAUCCUGGGAUGAAGGGUGGUAUAUAAAUUUAAUAAAUAAAUAAAUAGCAUUUUCGCCAGCUUAAUUUACACUGGCUUGCUUCUCUGAUCAGCCUCGCUCCCUAGUUAGAGAAGUGGGGUGCUAGACAAGGAGAAGGUUUGUCCUCUUCAGCAAGCUGAGGAGCUUCAGCAUGGAGAUAGCCGAGGUCUCUCCCAGGACCCUCCUACUCCUAGUAUCACCUUCAGCCAGCAGGAGCAGGAACUGCAGAGGAUGGUAAAACCCAGGGGUGGGAGCAGACCAACAGCACCUUCUUUUUAUCGAAAGGCCACUGUUGAGGUGGCACUGCAGGGUGUGUGCUGAGGAGGCACCAGAUCUGGCCUCCAAGGAGAGCAUGACAGUCAUUGCUGCCACCAUGGCAGCAGCAGUGGGUGGAGGUCAGAACUGCUGCUCCUGUGGAUCCUGCUACCUGAGGUAGUUGCUUCACCUUCCCUCAGGUGUAGGCCAGCCCUGCUAGUCAAUCCAUUCAAGUAGCGGGGUUGGGAGACUCAAGCCCUGACUCCAGCUUUAUCCCUAAAGUUAACUUGGCUUUUGACAAAACAGAGCAUAUUGUUCUCCCUAGUUUUUGCCCUAAUCCGACCCACUACGGGGGGGGGGGGGAUGGCAUGGGCUGGACAUCAGAUGCAACUUGUGGAUUUGCCUACACCAGAGCCAUUCACUCUGAAAGAUGGAGUUUCUUUUCUUCUUGCUGCUGAAUUCUUUCAACCUGGCUGCUGAAUUCUGCACUAGCUGAAGCUUUCAACCCAUCUUGAGGCAGCCCUAUGUAUAACACGUUGCAAUAAUCUAAGCUCAAGUUUACCAGAGCAUAGACGACAAUAGGUAGGCUAUCCCUGUUGAGAUAAGUGCACAGCUGGGACACCAGCUGAAGCUGAUGGAAAGCGCUGCAUGCCACUGAGGCCACCUGAGUCUCAAGUGACAGCAAAGGAUCCAGGAGCAACCCCAAGCUAUGUACCAGCUCCUUCAGAGGAAGUGUAACCCCAUUAAGAGCAGACAACCUCCCAGUCAUCCAGUCUAGGGAAGCACCCACUAACAGUGCCUCAGUUUUAUCUGGAUUGAGUUUCAGUUUGUUGGUUCUUAUCAGUCCAUUAUCAAGGCAAGACACCAGUCCACUGCCUCACCUGCAGAUGUGAUGGAGAAGUAGAGCUAAGUGUCAUCAGCAUAUUGCUGACAAUGUACUCAAAACCUCUGCAUAAUCCCACUCAGUGGUUUCAUGUAGAUGUCGAACAGCAUAGGGGAUAGGAUCAUACCCCGCAGAACCCCACAUUGAAGGUUCCAUGGGGCUGAAAAACACUCCCCAAGCAAUACCCUCCAAGUAGGACCAGAACCGCUGCAAACCAGUGCCACCCACCCCUAACUCGGACAGCCACUCCAGAAGGAUACCAUGGUUGGUGGUAUCAAAAGCCAGUGAGAAGUCAAGGAGAAUUACCAGGAACACAUUUCCCCUGUCUCUCUCUCAACAGAGGUCAUCAUACAGGGUGACCCUGAUUGAAAUGGAUCUAGGAAAUCAGUUUCUUCCAAAAGCGCCUGGAUGUGGUCUGCAACCACCUGCUCCAGAACCUUGCUCAGGAAAGGGAGAUUAACAACUGGCUGGUAGUUAGAUUUUUCAAAUCCAAGGAAGGUUUCUUAAGGAGUGGUUUUACCACUGCCUCUUUCAAGCAGGCAGGGGCCAGCCCCUCUUAUAAAAAAGCAUUAACCACUUCCCUGGCCCAGCCAGCUGUCCCCUCCCUGAUGGUUUUUAUCAGCCAAGAGGAGCAAGGGUCUGGAGAGCAAGUGGUUGCCCUGACUUGUCCACAUCCUCAAGCCUUACCAACUGAAACAUAUCCAACACAACAGGACUAGACUGUGCUCUGGACACCCCAUGAGAUUCAUCUGCUAUAACAGCAGAGUCAAGAUCUUGGUGGAUGCAAGCAAUUUUAUCCUCAGAAUGCUUUGCAAGCAAGUCACAGCGGGCUACCGUUGGUUCUACCACAUCCUUUGGGCCAGCCUGUACAACUCAGAAAAGCUCUACCAGAUGACAUGAUGAGGAUGCAAUGGAGGCAGCAAAGUGUGCCUUCUUUGCUGCCUUCACUGCCACUAGGUAGGCUCGAUGAUGAGCCCUCACCAGAGUUUGGUUGCAUUCAUUCGGAUCUUUCAUCCACCUGCGUUUGAGUCGUCUCCUAGCUUGUUUCCUUGCCCUACACUCUGGAGUAUGCCAGGGGGCAAUCAGGCUCCACAAAGUGGGAGAGGGCACUCAGGGGCGAUUGGGUCAAUAUGCAGAAAAUAUUAAAAUAAAUUUAAGGAACCGCAGAAAGAGAGGAAGUACAGGAAGUCAAGUUUCAAAAUGCUAAAAUGUUUGCAAAAUUACUGAAAUGUAUAUAACUGAAAAUCAUAAAUU